AUUGAACGCUGGCGGCAGGCCUAACACAUGCAAGUCGAGCGAGCGGCGGACGGGUGAGUCAUGUAUGGGGCUCUGCGCGAUCGAGGGGGUUAACUACUGGAAACGGUGGCUACUACCGCAUACUAGAGCAUGAACCGGUAUGGGAUUAGCUAGUCGGUGGGGUAAAGGCUCACCUAGGCGACGAACUCUAGCUGGUCUGAGAGGAUGAUCAGCCACACUGGGACUGAGACACGGUCCAGACUCCUACGGGAGGCAGCAGUGGGGAAUAUUGGACAAUGGGCGCAAGCCUGAUGCAGCCAUGCCGCGUGUAUGAAGAAGGUCUUAGGGUUGUAAAGUACUUUCAGCGGGGAGGCGUUACCCGCAGAAUAAGCACCGGCUAACUCCGUGCCAGCAGCCGCGGUAAUUC
rnacentral:rRNA from 1 species